rnacentral:rRNA from 1 species
GAAAUCCGGAUUAAUACCGCAUACGCCCUACGAGGGAAAGGUGGCCUCUUCUUGAAAGCUACCGUUAUCGGAUGAGCCUGCGUCGGAUUAGCUAGUUGGUGGGGUAAAGGCCUACCAAGGCGACGAUCCGUAGCUGGUCUGAGAGGAUGAUCAGCCACACUAGGACUGAGACACGGCCCAGACUCCUACGGGAGGCAGCAGUGGGGAAUAUUGGACAAUGGGCGCAAGCCUGAUCCAGCCAUGCCGCGUGUGUGAAGAAGGCUUUCGGGUUGUAAAGCACUUUCAGCGGGGAGGAAAGGUUUAAGGUUAAUACCCUUGAGCCGUGACGUUACCCGCAGAAGAAGCACCGGCUAACUCCGUGCCAGCAGCCGCGGUAAUACGGAGGGUGCGAGCGUUAACCGGAAUUACUGGGCGUAAAGCGUGCGUAGGCGGUGAUUUAAGUGGGAUGUGAAAGCCCCGGGGCUCAACCUGGGAACUGCACCCCAAACUGGGUCACUAGAGUACAGCAAAGGAGUGUGGA